UACGUAGGGUGCGAGCGUUAAUCGGAAUUACUGGGCGUAAAGCGUGCGCAGGCGGUUCUCCAAGUCCGUUGUGAAAGCCCCGGGCUCAACCUGGGAAUGGCAUUCGAGACUGCAUAGCUAGGAUGCGGAAGAGGGAAGUGGAAUUUCCGGUGUAGCGGUGAAAUGCGUAGAUAUCGGAAGGAACACCAGUGGCGAAAGCGACUUCCUGGUCCAGCAUCGACGUUCAGGCACGAAAGCGUGGGGAGCAAACAGG
rnacentral:rRNA from 1 species